UACGUAGGGCGCAAGCGUUGUCCGGAAUUAUUGGGCGUAAAGAGCUCGUAGGCGGUUUGUCGCGUCUGCUGUGAAAACUCGAGGCUCAACCUCGGGCUUGCAGUGGGUACGGGCAGACUAGAGUGCGGUAGGGGUGACUGGAAUUCCUGGUGUAGCGGUGGAAUGCGCAGAUAUCAGGAGGAACACCGAUGGCGAAGGCAGGUCACUGGGCCGCAACUGAC
rnacentral:rRNA from 1 species